UAACUAAAUUUAAUGAUUACAGCAAAUAUAAAGUUCUUUUGUAAAUUAUUGUUGGUUAAGGAUUGACUUGCAUUGACAACACACUUUAGCUCUCGCCCCUUUCAUUCUCCCCCUGCAAGAACAAAGGCAAAAUGAACAGUGAGGAAAACCUGGAAACAGGACCGAGUGUUUGCUAUCACUUGAUUCCUUUGAAGGAGCAAUGCUUUCUCAUAAUAUAGGUUUUAUAGUAUCAUCAAGUACAUCAGUUAAGCAAAUCAAGUGCUUUGUGUUCUGUAUAUAAAUUACAUAAUACAAGAGUCUGUGGCAGUUAAGAAUCUGGUUCUGCACUUUGGGAGGCAGUUCCUUCCCUCAGGUUUGUUAGUAGAAACCAAAAAGUAGCCUGAGAGGGUUCAGGUGCCACCUUGGAGGCACUACCUUAUCUUUUGUCCUUUUAGAGUUUUCUUGCUGGGGUGUUUGGCUCCAGCACUAUAGCCCUUACCACAAUCAUUCCACCUGGUUCUUCAAUAGGACUCUGAGGUAUCAAAAAAGUCACUAGGGCAGCCCAGAGAUUGGUACGAUUUACCUUUACACCUCAAAGUUUUUUAGAUGUGAGCAGCGCUGGAUUAUGGCAAUUUACCUUAUAAUAACUCACCAUAGUUGGCUGUUAUAAGAAUAAAUAUUGUUCUUCUAAGAUUUUUA
rnacentral:lncRNA from 1 species